rnacentral:rRNA from 1 species
UGGGGAAUAUUGGACAAUGGGGGAAACCCUGAUCCAGCGACGCCGCGUGGGUGAAGAAGGCCUGCGGGUUGUAAAGCCCUUUCGGUUGGGAAGAAAAGUUGCGACCUAACACGUCGCGACCUUGACGUAACCAACUAAAGAAGCACCGGCUAACUCUGUGCCAGCAGCCGCGGUAAUACAGAGGGUGCGAGCGUUAAUCGGAAUUACUGGGCGUAAAGCGUGCGCAGGCGGUUUUGUAAGACAGAUGUGAAAUCCCCGGGCUUAACCUGGGAACUGCGUUUGUGACUGCAAGGCUGGAGUACGGCAGAGGGGGGUGCAAUUCCACGUGUAGCAGGGAAAUGCGUAGAUAUGCGGAGGAACACCGAUGGCGAAGGCAGUCCCCUGGGCCUGUACUGACGCUCAUGCACGAAAGCGUGGGGAGCAAACA